UGGGGAAUUUUGGGCAAUGGGCGAAAGCCUGAUCCAGCAAUGCCGCGUGUGUGAAGAAGGCCUUCGGGUUGUAAAGCACUUUUUGUCCGGAAAGAAAUCCUUGGCUCUAAUACAGUCGGGGGAUGACGGUACCGGAAGAAUAAGCACCGGCUAACUACGUGCCAGCAGCCGCGGUAAUACGUAGGGUGCAAGCGUUAAUCGGAAUUACUGGGCGUAAAGCGUGCGCAGGCGGUUUGCUAAGACCGAUGUGAAAUCCCCGGGCUCAACCUGGGAACUGCAUUGGUGACUGGCAGGCUAGAGUAUGGCAGAGGGGGGUAGAAUUCCACGUGUAGCAGUGAAAUGCGUAGAGAUGUGGAGGAAUACCGAUGGCGAAGGCAGCCCCCUGGGCCAAAUACUGACGCUCAUGCACGAAAAGCGUGGGGAGCAAAACAGGAUUAGAUACCCUGGUAGUCCACGCCCUAAAACGAUGUCAACUAGUUGUUGGGGAUUCAUUUCCUUAGUAACGUAGCUAACGCGUGAAGUUGACCGCCUGGGGAGUAACGGUCGCAAGAUUAAAAACUCAAAGGAAUUGACGGGGUCAUAGCUGUUUCCU
rnacentral:rRNA from 1 species